rnacentral:rRNA from 1 species
CAACCUGCCGUCUACUCUUGGACAGCCUUCUGAAAGGAAGAUUAAUACAAGAUGGCAUCAUGAGUCCGCAUGUUCACAUGAUUAAAGGUAUUCCGGUAGACGAUGGGGAUGCGUUCCAUUAGAUAGUAGGCGGGGUAACGGCCCACCUAGUCUUCGAUGGAUAGGGGUUCUGAGAGGAAGGUCCCCCACAUUGGAACUGAGACACGGUCCAAACUCCUACGGGAGGCAGCAGUGAGGAAUAUUGGUCAUUGGGCGAGAGCCUGAACCAGCCAAGUAGCGUGAAGGAUGACUGCCCUAUGGGUUGUAAACUUCUUUUAUAAAGGAAUAAAGUCGGGUAUGGAUACCCGUUUACAUGUACUUUAUGAAUAAGGAUCGGCUAACUCCGUGCCAGCAGCCGCGGUAAUACGGAGGAUCCGAGCGUUAUCCGGAUUUAUUGGGUUUAAAGGGAGCGUAGAUGGAUGUUUAAGUCAGUUGUGAAAGUUUGUGGCUCAACCGUAAAAUUGCAGUUGAUACUGGAUAUCUUGAGUGCAGUUGAGGCAGGCGGAAUUCGUGGUGUAGCGGUGAAAUGCUUAGAUAUCACGAAGAACUCCGAUUG